UUGCCCCAGUAACGGCGAGUGAAGCGGCAAAAGCUCAAAUUUGGAAUCCUGCGGGAGUUGUAAUUUGAAGGCUGUAAGGUGGUGGCUCGGCCCUGUGCAAGUCCAUUGGAACAUGGCGCCAAGGAGGGUGACAGCCCCGUGGCACUAGGUCAACCACCAUAUACUUUACGGCCAAAGAGUCGAGUUGUUUGGGAAUGCAGCUCUAAGUGGGUGGUAAAUUCCAUCUAAAGCUAAAUAUUGGCGAGAGACCGAUAGCGAACAAGUACAGUGAUGGAAAGAUGAAAAGCACUUUGAAAAGAGAGUGAAACAGUACGUGAAAUUGUUGGAAGGGAAGGGCUUGCAAGCAGACACAACCCCCCGGGUUGGGCCAGCAUCGGGGCGGAGGAGAGCAAAACAGGCGGUGAAUGUGGCGCCAGUCCUUUGGGCUGGCGUGUUUAUAGCGCCGCCAAAUACUCUCAUUCUGCCCCGAGGCCAGCGCAUUUCGCAAGGAUGCUGGCGUA
rnacentral:rRNA from 1 species